GGGCUUGUAGCUCAGUGGACUAGAGCACGUGGCUACGGACCACGGUGUCGGGGGUUCGAAUCCUCCCAGGCCCG
rnacentral:tRNA from 3 species